rnacentral:tRNA from 1 species
GUGCUUGUAGCUCAAUGGACUAGAGUACGUGGCUACGAACCACGGUGUUGGGGGUUCGAAUCCCUCCUUGCACA